rnacentral:tRNA from 2 species
GGGCGAGUGGUGGAAUUGGCAGACACGUAGGAUUCAGGAUCCUAUGGCUGAAAAGUCGUGUGGGUUCAACUCCCACCUCGCCCA